rnacentral:tRNA from 3 species
GCUAUUUUGGCAGAUAAUGCACUAAAUUUAGGAUUUAGUUAUAUAGGGAGUCUAUAAAUAGUA